GAUGAACGCUGGCGGCGUGCCUAAUACAUGCAAGUCGAGCGAACAGACGAGGAGCUUGCUCCUCUGACGUUAGCGGCGGACGGGGGAGUAACACGUGGAUAACCUACCUAUAAGACUGGGAUAACUUCGGGAAACCGGAGCUAAUACCGGAUAAUAUAUUGAACCGCAUGGUUCAAUAGUGAAAGACGGGUUUGCUGUCACUUAUAGAUGGAUCCGCGCCGCAUUAGCUAGUUGGUAAGGUAACGGCUUACCAAGGCGACGAUGCGUAGCCGACCUGAGAGGGUGAUCGGCCACACUGGAACUGAGACACGGUCCAGACUCCUACGGGAGGCAGCAGUAGGGAAUCUUCCGCAAUGGGCGAAAGCCUGACGGAGCAACGCCGCGUGAGUGAUGAAGGUCUUCGGAUCGUAAAACUCUGUUAUUAGGGAAGAACAAAUGUGUAAGUAACUAUGCACGUCUUGACGGUACCUAAUCAGAAAGCCACGGCUAACUACGUG
rnacentral:rRNA from 1 species